UAGCUCCCAAAGCCUCCACCGACCUCUUCCUUCCCCGAUCCCGAACCUCUCCUCACGUCGUUCUCUUCCUUUCUCUCCCUCACGCACUGCCCUCUCCCGAUUCCUUGUCACUGUGGACCACCGAACUCUGAGGCCGAUGAGUUCUGAUCGUUGAUCGCCCAACAUCGUUCGACAUCGUCCGGUCUCUCGGCCUAUCGCGGUGAUAGCUUCCAGCCCUCUCCGAUCUGCUGCUCUCCCUCGAGCGCCGCUGCCUUUGUCGACGUCGUCGACUUGGUGAGUCAUUGGCCUUCCCCCAACCAUGAGCAAGAGCUCCGACGUCCGUUCAUUUGAGCAUGGGUAGUCGUCGUUGUUCGACGACAUCACCACUCUAAUCCAGAGCGGUGACCUAGCUUGGAUCCAUCACCCCUCUCCCGAUCGCAACACCCUUUUAUGAAAUUAUCGUGCUAUCCUCGUCGUACCAUCUACUGUCGGUUCUUCCUUCACCCAUCUCAUCAGCCGCCUUCUAUUGGGUCUCUUGCAGAAAGGAAGCUGCCGGCACAUAAUUAGGUAGCAUUCGGCCACUAUUUUCAACAGCAAGCCUCUCUGGCUAUGAGUCAACAAUGAUGCAUUUGGAUUAGGAUUUGUGUUCGGGACGAGCGUCUCGACGUAUGACUACUUGACACGAUCUACGUAUAAAGACGGGUGGCAGGUAGAUGAAUCAAGGAUGCUUGGGAGAGUCCUGCCUGCCGGUCCUAUGUCACAUCCGAAGACUGCAUCGGGUUUCAUUUAUUCUUUACUCGUAUUUUGUAUUUGGUGUUAUAUUAAUUCGAUUAUUUUUUGGAGUUUAUUAUGUGGAGUUGAAUUUUGUGUUGUUGUAAUUGUUGUAUAAAGCCAAGUCAACUAACAUUAUGUUGUUUUAGUUCGUAUGUGCUUUCUUUUA